GCAGCAAUAUGAUGGACCAUGAAGCAUCAGUUAUAGGUUAUAGGCUACAAGCAGCAAUAUGAUGGACCAUGAAGCAUCAGUUAUAGUCUACAAGCAGCAAUAUGAUGGACCAUGAAGCAUCAGUUAUAGGCUACAAGCAGCAAUAUGAUGGACCAUGAAGCAUCAGUUAUAGGCUACAAGCAGCAAUAUGAUUGACAUAAAAUAGCAGCAACCACAGACUAUAUGUCCCAUGAUUUUCUAAAAUGGUCACUCAUUACUUUAGUUAACUAUAUAUCUCAUAUUAGGGCUGUGUUGAUUUGGGAGAGC
ensembl:lncRNA